rnacentral:rRNA from 1 species
UACGGAAGGCAGCAGGGGGGAAUAUUGCACAAUGGGCGCAAGCCUGAUGCAGCCAUGCCGCGUGUAUGAAGAAGGCCUUCGGGUUGUAAAGUACUUUCAGUCGUGAGGAAGGUGUUAAGGUUAAUAACCUUAGCAAUUGACGUUAGCGACAGAAGAAGCACCGGCUAACUCCGUGCCAGCAGCCGCGGUAAUACGGAGGGUGCGAGCGUUAAUCGGAAUUACUGGGCGUAAAGGGCACGCAGGCGGUUAAUUAAGUUGGAUGUGAAAUCCCCGGGCUUAACCUGGGAAUGGCAUUCAAGACUGGUUAGCUAGAGUCUUGUAGAGGGGGGUAGAAUUCCAUGUGUAGCGGUGAAAUGCGUAGAGAUGUGGAGGAAUACCGGUGGCGAAGGCGGCCCCUGGACAAAGACUGACGCUCAUGUGCGAAAGCGUGGGGAGCAAACAGGGAUUAGAUACC